rnacentral:tRNA from 1 species
GGGCUGGGGCUCAGUGGUAGAGCGCUUGCCUAGCAUGCUUGAGGCACUGGGUUCGAUCCCCAGCACCACA